UACGUAGGGUGCGAGCGUUAAUCGGAAUUACUGGGCGUAAAGCGUGCGCAGGCGGUUUGGUAAGACAGGCGUGAAAUCCCCGAGCUUAACUUGGGAACUGCGCUUGUGACUGCCAGGCUAGAGUAUGUCAGAGGGGGGUAGAAUUCCACGUGUAGCAGUGAAAUGCGUAGAGAUGUGGAGGAGUACCGAUGGCGAAGGCAGCCCCCUGGGAUAACACUGACGCUCAUGCACGAAAGCGUGGGGAGCAAACAGG
rnacentral:rRNA from 1 species